AGGUCUUGACAUCCUCUGACAACUCUAGAGAUAGAGCGUUCCCCUUCGGGGGACAGAGUGACAGGUGGUGCAUGGUUGUCGUCAGCUCGUGUCGUGAGAUGUUGGGUUAAGUCCCGCAACGAGCGCAACCCUUGAUCUUAGUUGCCAGCAUUUAGUUGGGCACUCUAAGGUGACUGCCGGUGACAAACCGGAGGAAGGUGGGGAUGACGUGUGGAUGUCGAUA
rnacentral:misc_RNA from 1 species